GCGAGUGUUAGGGUGUCAAACCCUUACGCGUAAUGAAAGUGAACGGAGGUGAGAACCGCAAGGUGCAUCAUCGACCGAUCCUGAUGUCUUCGGAUGGAUUUGAGUAAGAGCAUAGCUGUUGGGACCCGAAAGAUGGUGAACUAUGCCUGAAUAGGGUGAAGCCAGAGGAAACUCUGGUGGAGGCUCGCAGCGGUUCUGACGUGCAAAUCGAUCGUCAAAUUUGGGUAUAGGGG
rnacentral:rRNA from 1 species